GUAUAAUUUUAGAAAAUCUAUAAUAGCUCUUCUUUAUUUUAAUCCCCGAAAGGGUUAUGAUUAUAAAUCUAGAGAAAUUAGUUUUUAAUAAUGUACCUUUUGUAUCAGGGGCUUAGGAAUAUAAAUAAUUAAAUAAUAACCUCCCGAAAGAAAAGGGAUUUUUAGUUUUAUAAAUGUUAUUAUUUCAUCAAUAUAAAUAAUAAAAUUAAAGAGAUAAAAAGUCAAUUCGUUCAUUCUUAUAACUGGUUUGCUUAAAGAAGCUUUUAUAGAAAGUUAUAGAAAAUUGGAUUAACACUUUAUUUUCUCUAAAUUCAUAAAGGGAUAAGCUUUUAUGACUCUAGGAAUAUCAAUUUUUACUUUAUCUUCUUGACAGGAUAGUCGCUAUUUAUUUAUUUAUAGAUCAACCUAUAGAAUAGCAUCUUUAGUAAAAUAAAAUUUAAACUUUAAUAAUUAUCUUAGCAUUAGUACUUACAAAUUACUUUUAAAAAGGAACUCGGCAAAAAUUAAUUGGACUGUUUAAUAAAAACAUUUCCUCCUGCUAGAAAAGGAGGUAAAGCCUGCUCAGUGUUUAAAUUAACAGCUGCAGUAUCUUAACUGUACAAAGGUAGCAUAAUAAUUUGUCUCUUAAUUGGAGACUUGCAUAAACGGCUUAACCAAAUUUACUCUGUCUCUUUUUAAUUAAAGGAAAUUAAAUUUUAAGUUAAAAUGCUUAAAUAACUCAGAGGGACGAGAAGACCCUGAAGAUCUUUACUCUUAAAUUAAUCUUAAGAUUUACAUUAAGAAAGAGUUUGUUUGGGAUGAAAAUAAGCAACAUUAUGACUUUAAAGACUCAAUUGUCACUUUAUUGAUCCGUUAAAAUAACGAAAAACUGAUUAAGUUACCUCAGGGAUAACAGCGCUAUGACUUUUAUUAGAUCUUAUAAAAAAAGAAGCUUGCGACCUCGAUGUUGAAUUGAGUAAACAUUAAGUAGAAGAGUGCUUAAAUGUAAGACUGUUCGUCUUUUAAUAACUCACAUGAUUUGAGUUUAGACCGACGUGAGUCAGGUCAGAUUCUAUCUUCUGAUAAUAAAGUUAUCUUUUUUGUACGAAAGGACUAAAAGAUUCUUCUUA
rnacentral:rRNA from 1 species